rnacentral:rRNA from 1 species
CAAGCCCUGGAAACGGGGUCUAAUACCGGAUAUGAGUUCCUUCCGCAUGGUGGGGACUGUAAAGCUCCGGCGGUGCAGGAUGAGCCCGCGGCCUAUCAGCUUGUUGGUGAGGUAAUGGCUCACCAAGGCGACGACGGGUAGCCGGCCUGAGAGGGCGACCGGCCACACUGGGACUGAGACACGGCCCAGACUCCUACGGGAGGCAGCAGUGGGGAAUAUUGCACAAUGGGCGAAAGCCUGAUGCAGCGACGCCGCGUGAGGGAUGACGGCCUUCGGGUUGUAAACCUCUUUCAGCAGGGAAGAAGCGAGAGUGACGGUACCUGCAGAAGAAGCGCCGGCUAACUACGUGCCAGCAGCCGCGGUAAUACGUAGGGCGCAAGCGUUGUCCGGAAUUAUUGGGCGUAAAGAGCUCGUAGGCGGCUUGUCGCGUCGGUUGUGAAAGCCCGGGGCUUAACCCCGGGUCUGCAGUCGAUACGGGCAGGCUAGAGUUCGGUAGGGGAGAUCGGAAUUCCUGGU